GUGAGGAAUAUUGGUCAAUGGACGAGAGUCUGAACCAGCCAAGUCGCGUGAAGGAAGACGGUUCUAUGAAUUGUAAACUUCUUUUGUGCAGGAAUAAAGUGGGUUACGUGUAACCUUUUGUAUGUACUGUACGAAUAAGGAUCGGCUAACUCCGUGCCAGCAGCCGCGGUAAUACGGAGGAUCCGAGCGUUAUCCGGAUUUAUUGGGUUUAAAGGGUGCGUAGGUGGAUUGAUAAGUCAGCGGUGAAAGUUUGCAGCUUAACUGUAAAAUUGCCGUUGAAACUGUCGGGCUUGAGUGCAAAUGAGGUAGGCGGAAUGUGUUGUGUAGCGGUGAAAUGCUUAGAUAUAACACAGAACUCCGAUUGCGAAGGCAGCUUACUGGGAUGCAACUGACACUGAUGCACGAAAGCGUGGGUAUCAAACAGGAUUAGAUACCCCGGUAGUCC
rnacentral:rRNA from 1 species